rnacentral:rRNA from 1 species
UACGGAGGGUGCGAGCGUUGUCCGGAAUCAUUGGGCGUAAAGGGCGCGUAGGUGGCCACUUCAAGCGUGCGGUGAAAGUCGGGGGCUCAACCCCUGAUCGGCCGUGCGAACUGGGGGGCUGGAGCACUGUAGAGGCAGGCGGAAUUCCGGGUGUAGCGGUGGAAUGCGUAGAGAUCCGGAAGAACACCGGUGGCGAAGGCGGCCUGCUGGGCAGUUGCUGACACUGAGGCGCGACAGCGUGGGGAGCAAACAGG